rnacentral:lncRNA from 1 species
GUGUGGCGGGCUGAGCCAGGCCUUCCGACCUUGUAUCUUGACUCAUUUCCAGGGAUUUCUCUUUCCUCUGGAUCAGGCUGUAACCUGCACACAGUCGUGCUCAGCCAGGGACGCCGGAAACACCCGAAGGUCUCUGGCACUAUCGCUGUCAAGAUAUGACUACGUGGAAACAUUAUGCAAACUCUGAGGCUCUUUAUAAAUAUUUGCUUUGCUUUCCCCUCAAGAUUUAUUUGGAAGUUCGCCUGAGACAUUUCACACCACUUCUGUCUAAGCUUAGCAUUUAGAUAAACACACAGGAAGCAAUUAUUUUUGAGGUGCGGUUAGGAGCCUGGCUAUCUUUCCUAUGAUGAGGAUCAAUAGUAAGAGAUGCAGACAGAGCAAAAUUCAGGUCACCCUCAUUUUAUGACCAGUGAAGAAUCAGGUGCAUUUGUUUAUGCCACUUGCAUUCGCUGUCCUUAUCGAUCACUUACUAGGGACUCAGCAACCCAAACUCUAAACAAUUAAAAAUGUAAAAACAGAUGCAAUAAGGGUAGCUGUACAUCUAAACACAUCUCAGCUAAUCACGUCCUGUCUUUAAGUGAGGUCGGCGUAUUGACUGGGAUGCCAUGCUAUUUACGCUGCUGUUCCUGGAGGGUGGCAGAUUUGUUAAGAACUGUCCUCACUACUGCGCCAGGCCUGCUCUACACAGUCUUUGCAGGGAAGAUGCCAGGCAAGGCCGUGGUUUGGUCUGUGGCCAGGAGCAUGGGCCAAGUUGACCUUCCCCAGGGCCAAGAUAAACCUAGGCCCAAUCCCUUAGAAACAGUGCCCUCUGAUAGCUACCAGCUCCUGGAUUGGAGGCAGGGGCUCAAUUAAAAGCUUUUAGUGAACCUUUUUUAAGGACUGAGCAAAAAUGAAAGGCAUGCACUGGGAUUUCACAGAGACAGAGAAUAUUAGCCUUGAGAGAGAUUGCGACCAGCUCAGCCACCUCACCUCGCGUAGAAGAAAACAGGCUGACAAAGCUGAGCCAUGCCCAAGGUCGGAUGUCGGCAAAACUGGGCUGGAAUCCAGGACGUUUAAGUCUCAAUUCAAGAUUCUUUCCAUAUGAUUUUUAAAAUACAUACUUUUGGGAAUCCCAAUAAAAAAUCCCUACGAGGCAGGGACAGGCACCCAAAAGCUACACUUGAGACACCAGGAGGACUGACCGCCCUGCACACCCAAGGACCAUUUCCCUGACUUCCAUGCAUUCGGCACAUUCUUCCUCAGGAAUCCUGGAACAGCGAGGCCCCACACUGGGCAUUAGCAAUGUUACCUCAGCCGGGCACAGUGGCUCACAUCUGCACUCCCAGCACUUUGGGAGCACAAGGCAGGAGAAUCACUUGAGCCUAGGAGUUCAAGACCAGCCUGGGCAGAGCGAAACCCGGUCUCUACAAAAAAAAAAAAAAAAAAAAAAAAAAAA